rnacentral:rRNA from 1 species
AUGACUAUUUUGUUGCACGCUUGUCUCCGAAUAAAAUACAAGGGGUUAGAAAUACAGGCAACACUUCAUAAAUCGUUCCUUAUUCCUAAUCUUAGGAAUCAUUGUGUUGUCUUCAUACUUCACGGGUUUUGUGCUAGCCGUGAUAUGUUUUUGGCCACAUGCCUUAUUCAACUAGGUACAUCCGCUGCUCCGAGACUACGAGAAGUUCCAUGCCUCGGUGAGGCUGGUACCUAUUUUUUAGGACUAGAUUCUCUUACCUAUGCCUACAAGGUGUUUGAUGAAAAUCCAAGCAAGCUGCAAAGAAUAUUCAUCUAUGAAAAUGCAAGAGGACGAGGAAUCAUGAAGCCAGUGGCUCGGGAUCUUUUGUUUAAUGGUGACUGA